rnacentral:rRNA from 2 species
GCAAGUCGAGCGGACAGAAGGGAGCUUGCUCCCGGAUGUUAGCGGCGGACGGGUGAGUAACACGUGGGUAACCUGCCUGUAAGACUGGGAUAACUCCGGGAAACCGGAGCUAAUACCGGAUAGUUCCUUGAACCGCAUGGUUCAAGGAUGAAAGACGGUUUCGGCUGUCACUUACAGAUGGACCCGCGGCGCAUUAGCUAGUUGGUGGGGUAAUGGCUCACCAAGGCGACGAUGCGUAGCCGACCUGAGAGGGUGAUCGGCCACACUGGGACUGAGACACGGCCCAGACUCCUACGGGAGGCAGCAGUAGGGAAUCUUCCGCAAUGGACGAAAGUCUGACGGAGCAACGCCGCGUGAGUGAUGAAGGUUUUCGGAUCGUAAAGCUCUGUUGUUAGGGAAGAACAAGUGCGAGAGUAACUGCUCGCACCUUGACGGUACCUAACCAGA